GUUUGAUACCCCGAAACUACGUGAGCUACUUCAAGACAGCCUAUUAAUAGGGCUAACCCAUCUCUGUGGCAAAAGCGUGGGAAGAACUUUGAGUAGAGGUGACAAACCUACCGAACCUAGUUAUAGCUGGUUGUCCAAGAAAUGAAUAGAAGUUCAGCCUCUAAGCUUCUCCUUUCACCUGAACUUAACCCUUUUAGAUGUAUUAAAGAAACUAAGAAAGUUAGUCAAAGGAGGUACAGCUCCUUUGAAUCAAGACACAACUUUAACAGGCGGAUAAAGAUCAUAAUAACCAAAGCUAGACAUUCUGGUGGGCCUAAAAGCAGCCAUCCCUUAGAAAGCGUUAAAGCUCAGACAUAUUCUUAUACCUUCUUAUCCUGAUCAAUAAAUCUCACCCCCCUAACCAUACUGGACCCUCCCAUGCCCCCCCCAUGGGUGUGAUUAUGCUAAUAUGAGUAAUAAGAGAGCCCGCCUCUCUCCCUGCACACGUGUACCUCGGAACGGACAACCCACCGACCAUUAACGACCCCAAACAAAGAGGGCAAUAGAUCAUAAAUUAAAAUCAAGUAAAGCAUCUAAAAAUUAACCGUUAACCCUACACAGGUGUCCCCCAGGGAAAGACCUAAAGAAAGAGAAGGAACUCGGCAAACACAUUAAGUCUCGCCUGUUUACCAAAAACAUCGCCUCUUGUACCCC
rnacentral:rRNA from 1 species